rnacentral:hammerhead_ribozyme from 1 species
GUACUGCUGAAGAGUCCCAAACUAGGACGAAACAGCUGCCUAGUAC